UGUUGCAAAAGCAAGAUGAGCGAGGAGCCAGAUUUUUAUAUGAAAAAAAUAAAAAUGACGCCAAAUUGCAGUUUAUGCAAAUUGAGCGGCAACUCGUCGAAUUUAUUUUCAUAUGUGUGGAAAAGGCAACGUAAUGCAUAUUUAAAGUGUAUGAAGGGCACAUCUGCCAUCUACCAUCCGACAGCAGCUAACCUGAAGAUCUGUGUCUUUUGAAACCAAACCUGCCACUUCUAUACCAGCCUUUUCAAAUGGGGAACUCCGAUUCCUACAGAGCAGACAUCCACCGUCAAGCAUAAGAUAAGAGCUGAUCUGGCUAAUCUAAACAAACCUGUUCACUGUCAUCAUUGUUUACGUUUUUGUAGUGAAUGUUUAAAUUUUUACGGUGUUGCACCGGUAAACAUCGCGUAACUACUGCACAAAUCUGAAUGAGGAACUAACUGGAAAUUUUGAACGUAGAUGGAUCUCUGUAGGAAGACGCUAUUUAAAAAAUUGAUAACACCUUCCUUGCAUACGGGUUUUUAACAUAUCUUUUUAAGCAACCAUUUUAAAGGUGGAUGGCGCAUAAAAAGCCUUUAGCUUAAUACUUAAUACCUAGACAAUUCUUAGGACGUGCCAAGUAAGAAAUCCGCUAAAGGUUAGUCAUUUCCUAAACGAAAUGGCAUAGCAAUAAAUCUUUUCGAGAUGAGAUGAAUUGCCAAGUUCCGAUCCAUUGGAAGGCUCCUUGGUCAUGCACCAACAACAAAUACCUUAAAAAUAAUGUCAAUUGAAUUGUUCAUGGCUUUUGCUGUUUCGACCAGUUUUUUUGUAUUCAUAGAAAAUCGCUGCAGCAAAAACAGCUGAUCAACAUAAACCAACUGAUUCCAAAAAGUAAUGCGUUCCCCGAUGAGCCCUCCAUUUGUGAAUCGCUGGGCUGCACCUACAGAAGAUCUGGAGGACAGAAGAUCUGGAGUUGUUUUUUGUUUGUUACCCAUGCCAGCUGCCUAAC